ensembl:lncRNA
CUAACCCUAAAAGUCUAACCCUAAAAGUCUAACCCUAAAAGUCUAACCCUAAAAGUCUAAGUCUACCACCUAACACCUAAGUCUAACCCAAUGUCUCACAGUCUACCUUACCUUCACACCUACCUGUUGCACUUAGCUUCAAGUGGGAUCUGUGACCUGGUAAUGUUGAAUCAAGGCACACCACUGAAUUAGAUUGCACAAGUAUUUGUUCAUUACAGCACUGUUUCCUCAAGACAUGACUCAUACAAUUGUAUGCACACUACAGCAAUGCCUACAUGUUGACAAACAAAACAUGAAUACACUGAUUCCAUACAAUUGCAAGACACCGUUUACAGGCGCAGCACCCGCGCACUCCAUACAUUUUAAGGCAUGGUUUACAUAUAACACAUAUGUCCGAUUCACAAGACAAAGGUCACAAAGCCUCCAUAUCCAAUAAAUAACAUUACAUUUACACUAAUAUUGUGUACUGCAACCCACCUCAAGAGCAGAGCACAUCUCAGCCCACCUGAAGUAAAUGCAAGCCUCAGACUGGCCGGGAAGGAGCGCAAAUGGGCUCUGUUGGUUACGGGGUUGGGUUAGCCCUGCGGUACAAACAAACAAAGCAAAGCUAACCCAACCCCGUAAGCAAGGCUAAGCUAAAGCCAAUUUGGCUGAGAUCAAUUGAUUGCAAAGCUAAAGCCAAUUUGGGCAAGACAAAUUGACUGCACCUGCCAAAAUCGGCACAACUCUCAGAAUGGCCGCAAAGGGGCGCGAGUCUCAGACUGGCCGGGAAGGAGCGCAAAUGGGCUCCAAUGGCCUCAGGCGUUGGUUACGGGGUUGGGUUAGCCCUGCGGUACAAACAAACAAAGCAAAGCUAACCCAACCCCGUAAGCAAGGCUAAGCUAAAGCCAAUUUGGCUGAGAUCAAUUGAUUGCAAAGCUAAAGCCAAUUUGGGCAAGAUCAGUUGAUUGCAAAGCUAAAGCCAAUUUGGGCAAGAUCAAUUGAUUGCAAAGCUAAAGCCAAUUUGGGCAAGAUCAAUUGACUGCACCUGCCAAAAUCGGCACAACUCUCAGAAUGGCCACAAAGGGGCGCGAGUCUCAGACUGGCCGGGAAGGAGCGCAAAUGGGCUCCGAAGGCCUCGGGCGUUGGUUACGGGGUUGGGUUAGCCCUGCGGUACAAACAAACAAAGCAAAGCUAACCCAACCCCGUAAGCAAGGCAAAGCUAAAGCCAACUUAUUUGCAAUGCAUUAACUGCAAAGCUAAAGCCAAUUUGGUUGAGAUAAAUUAUUUGUAAAGCUAAAGCCAAUUGGGUUGAUGCAAAAUGACUGCACGCGCUGAAAUCAGUGUGACUCUCAGCAUGGCCGUGAGUCUCAAACAGCCUGGAUGGAGUGCGAAUGGUCCCUGUCCAGCUACGGGAUGUCAGUUACGGGAUUAGGGUCAGCCACGCUAGCAAUCUCAAAGCGAAGGUGACCCAACCCCCUGAGUGAGGCAAAGCCUUUGAUGUGCUAUCCCUCAAAAUUCUCUGAAAGAUUGCAGCCGGCUACUUGGACGGGUACGCUGCUUGCUAGAUGAAGAAGUAGCUGAACCGCCUGGCCUAAUGAGUGCUGCUCCAUCGUGUUAAAUGCAGCUGGUAUGCCAUCCUGAGUGCUCUUCAGGCCUGUUCUGUCCAAUAUCUUCAUUGAAGACCUGCCUGAUGGCAUGGAGUGCACCUUUGGUAAGUUUGCUGAGGGUGUUGCAUCAGAUUAGCACUAUGUUUGGAGUUCAGAGCUCAUUAGGAUUGGGGUGAAGGUAUAAGGGUUAGGUUUAUUAGGGUUAUGCUCAAAGGGACUGGUAGGGAAGGCCAAGGCAAAGGCAACAACACCCGAGGGAACACCAAAACCGAGGGCAAAGGCAUAGACAACAACCAAGGGAAGGCAACGUCAAAGGCACAGUGAAAGCAAAGGUAUGGAGAACACCAAAGAGAAGACCUCCUCAGAGGGCAGGCCCAAAGAGAGGGCCUCAGAGAACAAAACAGAGACCAAAGAGAACACCGUGGCAAGGCCAAAAUGGAGGGCGAGGUCCAUGAGAACGCUGCAGGGAAGGCCGAUGCAGGAGGCCAAGGGCAAUGGCCAAAGAGAAUGCAGCACAGAAGGCCAAAACCAAAGACCGAAGAGAACGCUGUAGGGAAUGCCAAAACAAGAAGGCCAAAGGCAAAGGCCAAACAGAACGCAACAAGGAAUGCCAAAACCAAAGGCCAAAGAGAUCGUCGCAGAGAAUGCCACGACAGGAGGCUGAAAGGAGCACGGCAAAGAAGGCCAAGGGCAAAGGUCAAAGAGAACAUGGAAGGCAACGCCAAAGAGAAUGUGGCAAAGGCGGUCAAACGCAAUGGCCAGGAGAACGUGGCAUGGAUGGCAAAAACAUAAGGCCAAAUAGAACACUGCAUGGAACACCAGAAGUGAUGGCCAAAGAGAACGCAGCAGGGAAUGCCAAAACCGGAGGCCAAAAAGAAUGCCGCAAAGAAGGCCAAAGGCAAUGGCCAAGAGAACAUGACAAGGAAUGCAAAAACAAGAGGACAAGAGAAUGUAGUAGGGAACGCCAAGGGCAAAGGGAAGGAGAACACCACCGUGAAAGGCCAGAGCCAAGGAGAACGUGCAAAGAAUAGGACGGGCAGCCUUUGGGGAACCCUGAAGUGCAGAAAGGAGCUCUGGGAACCCUACCUUGUGUCUCACUCAGUAAGGGGUAAACACUGGUGGGUGUGCAUUGUCCUUACCUGCUGGCAGACAAUUACCAGUCAGCAAAGUGGAGCUCCAGGGCAUCCCGGGAAAUGCAGCUUUCGGUUCCUGGCUGUUCCCGUGAAGACCCGCACAUCUCUCCGUGCAGUCCUUACAGCACUCGGGAGCGCUGCAGCUCUCUGCUGCCACCUGUUGGACACAAUGCAGGAAUGAAGGCGCUGCCCCGCAUAUGUAGGGCUGCACCCUGCGUGCAUUGCUCUAUAGGAUGACGCAAGGGAGUAUUAGGAAUAUAAUAAAUGCUAUGCAUAAGUUUGAAGUUACAAUUAGCUUAACAAUUGUUUUCCACACUAUGAUUAGGAUUAAGGGUACUGUGACAGAAAACAAGCGGCAUUAUUUUUAUUGCAGCAUUUAGGUUAAGAGACAUUUUUAAUAUUGGCUUAAUAGUUAGGUUUACAUAUACACUGUGGGUUAACAUAAUUAUCAUUAGAGCUCACAUUAAGCUACGGGUUCAGGUCAAGAUUAACAUUCACGCUGCCUCCCAGCCAAUCCCAGAGAGCCAAAGAAAAAAGGCAAGCUGAACUCCCACCGAAAGCCAAGGUAAAGGCAAAGCAAACAGCCAAGGCAGAAGGCUGAGAGAAGGUGGCUGGGAACACCAGAACACGAUGCCAAAGAGAACGCCGCAGGAAUUGCCCAAACAGGAGGGCAAGAGAACAUUGCAGGGAACGCCAAAACUGAAUGCUGAAGAGAACGUGGCAGAAGAAAAACAAGUUCAAUAGCCAAGAGAAUGUGGCAUGGAACGCAAAAACAGGAGGGCAAGGGAACGCCUAGGUAAGGGCCAAGAGAAUGCGGAAGGAAAUGCCAAGGAAAUGGCCAAGAGAACACGACAAGAAACGCCAAAACAGAAGGGCAAGAGAGCACUGCAGGGAACGCCAAAACUGAAUGUUGAAGUGAAUGUGGCCAAGAAAGUCAAGGGCAAUGGCCAAGAGAACAUGACAAGGAAUGCAAAAACACGAGGGCAAGAGAAUGCAGUAGGGAACGCCAAGGGCAAAGGGAAGGAGAACACCACCGUGAAAGGCCAGAGCCAAGGAGAAUGUGCAAAGAAUAGGACGGGCAGCCUUUGGGGAACCCUGAAGUGCAGAAAGGAGCUCUGGGAACUCCACCUUGUGUCUCACUGAGUAAGCGGUAAACACUGGUGGGUGUGCAUUGUCCUUACCUGCUGGGCAGACAAUUACCAGUCAGCAAAGUGGAGCUCCAGGGCAU